rnacentral:rRNA from 1 species
UACGUAGGGGCCUAGCGUUGUCCGGAAUUAUUGGGCGUAAAGAGCUCGUAGGUGGUUCGGUAAGUCGGAUGUGAAAUCUCCAGGCUCAACCUGGAGGGGUCAUUCGAUACUGCCGUGACUAGAGUUCGGUAGAGGAGUGUGGAAUUCCUGGUGGAGCGGUGAAAUGCGCAGAGAUCAGGAGGAACACCCGUAGCGAAGGCGGCACUCUGGGCCGAUACUGACACUGAGGAGCGAAAGCGUGGGGAGCGAACAGG